GAUGAACGCUGGCGGCGUGCCUAAUACAUGCAAGUCGAGCGAACAGAUGAGAAGCUUGCUUCUCUGAUGUUAGCGGCGGACGGGUGAGUAACACGUGGGUAACCUACCUAUAAGACUGGGAUAACUCCGGGAAACCGGGGCUAAUACCGGAUAAUAUUUUGAACCGCAUGGUUCAAUAGUGAAAGACGGUUUCGGCUGUCACUUAUAGAUGGACCCGCGCCGUAUUAGCUAGUUGGUAAGGUAACGGCUUACCAAGGCGACGAUACGUAGCCGACCUGGGAGGGUGAUGGGCCAAACUGGAACUGAGACAGGGUCCAGCCUCCUACGGGAGGCAGCAGUAGGGAAUCUUCCGCAAUGGGCGAAAGCCUGACGGAGCAACGCCGCGUGAGUGAUGAAGGUCUUCGGUUCUUAAACCUCUGUUGUUAGGAAAGAAAAAAUUUGUUAGUAACUGAAAAAGUCUUGAGGGUACCUAACCAGAAAGCCACGGCUAACUACGUGCUAGCAGCCGCGGUAA
rnacentral:rRNA from 1 species